rnacentral:rRNA from 1 species
AGAGUUUGAUCCUGGCUCAGGACGAACGCUGGCGGCGUGCUUAACACAUGCAAGUCGAACGCUGAAGCUCAGCUUUUGUUGGGUGGAUGAGUGGCGAACGGGUGAGUAACACGUGAGUAACCUGCCCUCUUCUUUGGGAUAACGCCCGGAAACGGGUGCUAAUACUGGAUAUUCACUGAUCUUCGCAUGGGGGUUGGUGGAAAGGUUUUUUCUGGUGGGGGAUGGGCUCGCGGCCUAUCAGCUUGUUGGUGGGGUGAUGGCCUACCAAGGCUUUGACGGGUAGCCGGCCUGAGAGGGUGACCGGUCACAUUGGGACUGAGAUACGGCCCAGACUCCUACGGGAGGCAGCAGUGGGGAAUAUUGCACAAUGGGCGAAAGCCUGAUGCAGCGACGCCGCGUGAGGGAUGACGGCCUUCGGGUUGUAAACCUCUGUUAGCAGGGAAGAAGAGAAAUUGACGGUACCUGCAGAGAAAGCGCCGGCUAACUACGUGCCAGCAGCCGCGGUAAUACGUAGGGCGCGAGCGUUGUCCGGAAUUAUUGGGCGUAAAGAGCUUGUAGGCGGUUUGUCGCGUCUGCUGUGAAAGGCCGGGGCUUAACCCCGUGUAUUGCAGUGGGUACGGGCAGACUAGAGUGCAGUAGGGGAGACUGGAACUCCUGGUGUAGCGGUGGAAUGCGCAGAUAUCAGGAAGAACACCGAUGGCGAAGGCAGGUCUCUGGGCUGUAACUGACGCUGAGAAGCGAAAGCAUGGGGAGCGAACAGGAUUAGAUACCCUGGUAGUCCAUGCCGUAAACGUUGGGCACUAGGUGUGGGGGACAUUCCACGUUUUCCGCGCCGUAGCUAACGCAUUAAGUGCCCCGCCUGGGGAGUACGGCCGCAAGGCUAAAACUCAAAGAAAUUGACGGGGGCCCGCACAAGCGGCGGAGCAUGCGGAUUAAUUCGAUGCAACGCGAAGAACCUUACCAAGGCUUGACAUAUACUGGACCGCAUCAGAGAUGGUGUUUCCCUUCGGGGCUGGUAUACAGGUGGUGCAUGGUUGUCGUCAGCUCGUGUCGUGAGAUGUUGGGUUAAGUCCCGCAACGAGCGCAACCCUUGCCCUAUGUUGCCAGCACGUGAUGGUGGGGACUCGUGGGGGACUGCCGGGGUUAACUCGGAGGAAGGUGGGGAUGACGUCAAAUCAUCAUGCCCCUUAUGUCUUGGGCUUCACGCAUGCUACAAUGGCCGGUACAGAGGGUUGCGAUACUGUGAGGUGGAGCUAAUCCCUAAAAGCCGGUCUCAGUUCGGAUUGGGGUCUGCAACUCGACCCCAUGAAGUCGGAGUCGCUAGUAAUCGCAGAUCAGCAACGCUGCGGUGAAUACGUUCCCGGGCCUUGUACACACCGCCCGUCAAGUCACGAAAGUUGGUAACACCCAAAGCCGGUGGCCUAACCUUUUUGGAGGGAGCCGUCUAAGGUGGGAUUGGCGAUUGGGACUAAGUCGUAACAAGGUAGCCGUACCGGAAGGUGCGGCUG